ACAACACACAAGUCCAAUCGCUUGAGAGGUCAAGAAUUUAUUUGGAUAAGGUCUGGCAAGGCUGCAGCGGCAGCAGCGAGUGUUCAAAUCAUGUCCCCCCAAAUCUGGACUCCGGGACACUCCCCCUGCACACAGAUGAAUGCCCCCAGGAGCAAACUGCCUCACCCGCCUGUCCACAGUCACCUAGACUGUGGCAAAUGGUUUUUCAGAGCAAGGUAGAGAAUCUUUUGAGAUACAAAUCAAAAGAACUGUCUACAAGAAGGGGUUCCUCAGCCACGAGUCAGAAGCCUGGAUGGGGAGAUUAGGGAAGCAUCCCUUAACCAGAGCUUAGUCCUGUCCCUCCACUUUAAAGGGAAGUGGACCAGGGGAGACUUUGCUGAAGUCCUCUGACCAGCGCUUGUCUGACCUGGCUGCUGUCAUCCUGAGAUCCGCCUUUGCUCAAGUUUCGGGAAUUCCCUUUAUUGUUCGAUUGUGUCGAAGCCUGUUUCCUGGACUUCCUAUUUUCUUCCUUCUUGAUUCGUUCCUUUGUUUUAUGAAGCACACUCCCCAUAGUUUCCUAAAAAAAGUGUGUGGGAGAUUAAUUUUUCCUGCGUCUGAAAAUGUCUUCAUUCUGCACAUGUUCGUAAUUUGUCUGGAUAGAUAAGUUCAGUGUGAAGACCAUUUUUCAGAAUUUGGAAGGCAUUGCACCAUUGUCUUUUACUGCCCUGUGUUGCUAUUGAGAAGUUAGUUCUAAGUCAUUCCAUUACUUCUCAUUUGUAUGUGACCUUUCUCUUUCUCAGUCUCUGUCCCUCUCUCUCCUCCCUCCCCCUCCUUGCAGAAUCUUCUUUUUCUAACUAAUGUUAUGAGGUUUCGUGAUGAUGUGACUUGGUGUGUGUCAUACCCUUCAAUUCUGGGAAGUUCCCUUGAAUUACUUUAUUGGCGAUUUCCUCCACUUCAUUUUCUCUGUUCCUUCUCUUUGGAACUCUUUAUUAUUUGGAUGGAACAGAUAACUGUUGGUCUGUACUGGUCAUCUAGUUUUCUUGUCUUUCCUUUAUUAUUUUUCAUCUCUGACUUUUGCUUUCUUUUCCAAAAAGUUUCCCCAACUUUUCUUCCCACCUUUUGCUGAGUUAUUCGCAC